rnacentral:rRNA from 1 species
GACGAACGCUGGCGGCGUGCCUAAUACAUGCAAGUAGGACGCAGUUGCGAACGGGUGAGUAACGCGUAUGUAACUACCUACUUGAGGGGGAUAACAAAUGGAAACGAUAGCUCAUACAGCAUACUCGUAGAUGGAUCUGCGUUGUAUUGGUUAGUUGGUUGGGUAAUGGCCUACCUAGGCAACGAUACAUACCCGAACUGGGGAGGUGGUCCGCCACACUGGGACUGAGGCACGGGCCAAGCUCCUACGGGAAGGAGCCGGUGGGGAUCUUCGGCAAUGGGGGGAACCCUUACCGGGCAACGGCGCGUGGGGGGAGAAAGGUUUCGGAUCGUAAAGCUCUGGUUGUAAGGGAGCGGUACUUAACCAGAAAGGGACGGCUAACUACGUGCCAGCCGCCGCGGUAAUAC